GGAAAAAUUUAUCCAUAUAUGAUGAGCGUAUAUUAUGAUUAUGUAGCUGGUCAAGUAAUAGCAUCCCAAGGCAAUGAUCCAUAGACUGAUGCGAGAGGAUGAUCAGCCACACAGGAAGGCAGAUACGGUCCAGAUUCUUUCGGGAGUCAUCACUGGAGAAUAUGGAUCAAUGGAUGAAAGCCUGAUCCAGAUAUGAUGCAUGUGUGAAGAAGGCAUCGGGGUAGUAAAGCUAUUCUAGGGAAGAAGAUAAGGAAGAUAGUCACAAGAAGAAAUCCUCGUUUACUCCGUGCCAGCAGGAGUCAUAAUUGCGAGAGGCAUAGCAUUUUUCGGAAUUAUAAAGCGUAAAGGGAGCGUAGGGCAAUUAAUAAGAGAAAAGUGAAAUCUUGAGCACUACCGUCGGAACAGUUUAUAAAUCUGUUUAUUUAGAGAUGGAAAGAGGAGAGAGGAAUUCAAGAUGUCGCGGUAAAAUUCGAAAAUCAUAAGAGGAACAACAUGUGAGAAGGCGUAUAUUAGGUUAAAAUCGCACGCAGAGGUGUGCAGUCGUGGGGAGCAAGCAUGGAUUUGAUACGAAAAAGUCACACGUAAUGAAUGAUGAAUGAGAAAUAUGGGGAGUUUACUUUCUGUAUUACAGCUAA
rnacentral:rRNA from 2 species